rnacentral:rRNA from 1 species
UACGAAGGGGGGCUAGCGUUGCUCGGAAUUACUGGGCGUAAAGCGCACGUAGGCGGCUUCUUAAGUCGGUGGUGAAAUCCUGGAGCUCAACUCCAGAACUGCCUUCGAUACUGGGAGCUCGAGUCCGGGGAGAGGUGAGUGGAACUGCGAGUGUAGAGGUGAAAUUCGUAGAUAUUCGCAAGAACACCAGUGGCGAAGGCGGUUCACUGGCCCGGUACUGACGCUGAGG